GUGGGCUGCAUCCCCAGCCCCACAGGGCAGCAGCAUCCCCCCGCUGCGGGAAGCGAGGGGCGGCUCGGGGCCGGGACGGAGCCUGCAGCCCGCGGCGCGACAAGCUGCUGGCGGGAAGCGGGGACACUUGCACGCCUUAAAAUGCGCGAUGCUGCUUUUUGCCCUGUCGCGGUUCUUCCUUGGCAGGUGGCGAGGGGCUGCUUGCGGAGCUGCUUGCUUGCGGGGUUUUUCGUAGCGUUCGUCGCCGUGUAGCACCCGAGGGUUGCGCUGGUAGAGGAGGCCUGCGUGAAACGUGAUGUCCAGGAAAAUGAUGAAGAAGCGGUGCAAGUCAAAGAGCAGAGCAUCCUGGAAUUGGGAUCGCUUUUGGCCAAGACUGGGCAAGCAGAAGUUUCUUUCUCAAUUAAUUGAUUCAUCUGCUGAAACAACAUUACAUCAGAAAAUCCGUGGCCAACUCUACACAAGAGCAAGACUUGACAGUCCUCCUAUUGUGAGUGU
rnacentral:lncRNA from 1 species